AUUGAACGCUGGCGGCAUGCCUUACACAUGCAAGUCGAACGGCAGCACGGACUUCGGUCUGGUGGCGAGUGGCGAACGGGUGAGUAAUGCAUCGGAACGUACCCGGUAGUGGGGGAUAACUACCCGAAAGGGUGGCUAAUACCGCAUAUACUGUGCGCAGGAAAGCAGGGGACCUUCGGGCCUUGUGCUACCGGAGCGGCCGAUGUCAGAUUAGGUAGUUGGCGGGGUAACGGCCUACCAAGCCUGCGAUCUGUAGCGGGUCUGAGAGGAUGAUCCGCCACACUGGGACUGAGACACGGCCCAGACUCCUACGGGAGGCAGCAGUGGGGAAUUUUGGACAAUGGGCGCAAGCCUGAUCCAGCCAUGCCGCGUGAGUGAAGAAGGCCUUCGGGUUGUAAAGCUCUUUCGGACGGAAAGAAAUCGCGCAGGCUAAUAUCCUGUGCGGAUGACGGUACCGUCAUAAGAAGCACCGGCUAACUACGUGCCAGCAGCCGCAGUAA
rnacentral:rRNA from 1 species